rnacentral:lncRNA from 1 species
CUUCUUCUUCUUCUUCUCUGUAAUGGUGUUUUAAUCUUCUUGGUUGCAGAGUGUUCUGGUGAGCUCUACUAAACUGUAAGUACUGAUUAACUAACUAAUUCAUCUAUAUUUUGUUUUUUUCUGUAAAACCCUAGAAAAAAUAAUGGUAACAGUAUGUUAUCUUUGUUAAGAUUAAAUGUUGCUCCAUAUAUGUUUAUAUGUUGCUAUAUUAUUGUAAUUUAAGUCUGAUUUGCUUGAUUGUUUCAUUUCAUAUCUAUGUUCUUUUCGGCAAUUAAAGGAUUAACUUGCAGUAGUGAUAAAAUGAUUGGAAACUCUAAAUCCUAAUAAAUCCUAAUCUUAAUAUUGGAGUUACCAACAAGCUACAUUCAAAGUACACCUUUGAGUCGAUAGCGCUUUUUGUAGAUUACAGAAUGAUCAAUCAUGAAAUUGAGUAAGAAAUAGAUAAUGAUGAUGAUGACGAGUCAAGAACACUCACAGGAGAAAGUGAAAUGUCUGAAUAUUGUCAAAUCUUAUUGAGGAAUAACAAGUCUGGUUCUUGUUAAAUUUGUCACCAGGGUUUUCCACUCAUUGGUUUUCCAAGUCAAUAGUGUGUGAUGGGCACGACUAGAAAUUUUAUUUCGCAAUCCCUACUCUUGGGCACUUGACGAGCAAAACAUCUCAUGAACCUACAAAUGUUUCAUCUUUUCGAGAUUCAAAAUCUUAUACUAGGAUCCCAAGUCCCUAACUACUGUAAACUUAGCUUAAGGAUAAUACAACUGCCAUUAUUUGUCUUAAGUUAAAUUUCCGUGUACUACUUUAGUCACUGUGAAUUACUGAUUUACAAAAAACUAUAGAAACUAGCUCGAUCAACAGGCUUCAGCUAGGGUUUAAUGUACGAUACAUGCUCUUCAGAGUAAAAAGAUAGACUAUAUUUUGCUUAUAUAGAUUUUCUUUAUUCUAGCGUGUUUUUUGAUGCUCUGUUAGUUUACCCAGUAAAUGUCAGGAGUUUGCUGGAAAUCUUUGUUUUACAUAAAAUUUCACCCCAAGUACCUAGUGCAGCCAAGCACCAGAAAUUUGCCAAACUUGUAUAUUUCAACAUGCUUUGAGAUGAGAAGGGGUUGAGUGUGUUCGAUUUCUGAGUAGUAAAUACAUAUCCAAUGAUAAAAGGCCAAAAUUUAUGAAAUUUCAAGCUUCGGAGUUCAGCAAAGUCAGCCAAAAGUGUAGCCUUGGGUAUAACCGAAUCACUUAAUCAGGAUAUUAUAUAUGAAAACUGUUGAUAACACAAUCUUUACAGCAAAACGAGCUUGCUUCCUUUUGGGGAAUUACAAAUUAUGUCAGAAAUCGGUAAAAGAAUUAUACUUAUCCCCUUAAUUUUUAACCCUCAAAAUAUAUUCUGCUCAUGCAAAUCAAAAAUAUUAACCGAAAUUGAAUACUACUACAAUGCUACAAUCACGGGUGUUAUUUGAUAUGGAGAUCUUGACAUUAGAAGCCAUCUUCAGAAUUUCGACAUGGACGCAUGGUUACAUCGGAAUUUGAACAAAAACUUACAUCCAAGAACCUCGUCUUUACACCCUUCCAAGAUCACCUUUAAACACUCAGUAGUUAUGUUUGAAUGACUUAGCUUCAGGCAUUUUAGUUUGGGUAGAGGAGUGGGUAUAGAUGAUGCCUGUUUAUGGUUUAUCAAUUAGUUUGUGCAACUUCAUGUGAUAGAUUAGUUUCUUUAAGCAGCUGUGCUGCUCUGUUUGACAUUGAUAAACCAUAUUCAUUGGCAUUUUGCAGAUUUUGUUAAAAUAUUUGAAGCACCAUGCAUGCAUCAUACAAAAACAUGAUUGUAAUGGCUAAGAUUAGUUGGCCUUUGUUAAUACAGCUGUAGUGGUUUUGCCUUUUCAGGAGAUGAGGUAUUUGUCAGAACAGAACUGUGAAGGAACUGUACCGUGAGUUCAACAAAGGCCUGAUUCCACCCAUCAUGAAUUUCAUAGGCAUGAAUGCCAGUAUAAUCGUUUUAAAUAACUGAUAGAUUAAGCAUUUCAACCUAGCACUACGCCCUUACCAUAUUGAUUAGAAGAUCGUGAACAGUUAGAAGGUUUUACAGUUAUGCAGAGCCAUUAUCUGGUAAGAACUUUCUCCUCAACUUUAACGUCCUGUUCAAAUUAGUCAAAUAUAAGAUGUUCAAUGCUAUUCUAAAUUUUUUUUCAGAGUAGCCAAUCUUUCAUGUAUCGUUUAUAUGCUUAGGCGUGAAAAUGAAUCAUUAUUAAACCUAAUCUCUCUGAGAUCAUCCUGCAAUUAUAACUUUCAUGAAUUGGUUUUUUAUCCAGGAGGCAUGUAGUAUAUUACACAUUCAAAUAGGAAUCACAAACUAGUUUAAACAGUGAAAUACUGUCGUUUUUUGCCAUUUUCACUUGAGAGGCUAUAAGUCAUGCCGUUUAAACUUUCUCAUAAAACUCUAAAAGUAGAUUAUGUUCCCAUUUCAAGAGUUGCACUGUUGCACAUACACCCAUAGCAAGAUAACUAGUUAAUGGUUGACCAGACAAUUUAUCUUAGCACAUUGUGAUGUACUGAAUAAAAUUGCCAUGUCAGUUUGGAAAUAAUACUUACCGCUUACUGUACUUUACAUUAACUGUCGAAAUGAGUAACCUAAGCUGCUUGAGAUUAGAUUCAGCCUCCUUAUCCACUGGCCGUGAACAAUGAGAGGAAGCGGUCACCAUAUAAUGAACAUACAUCCUUUUCAGACUCAACAAGCAACUGUUUAAUUUUAGACAAUGGCUUCAUUUAAGAAUUAUUGCAAUUUUUCAAUCAAAUUAGUUUACUAGGUUAUAAUUAUGUACUGUAUAUGAAAAUAUUUCUGAAACUAUAAAUUCCUUCAACCCUCAGUCCUCGUAAUCCUAUAAGACUACCAAUUGCAUAACUCCAUAUCCUUCAAGUGAUAUGGAUAUUUUGGAGCUUGCCAUCAGUCUCCACUGUAAGUAGGCCUAUACAAUAGGGUCAUCAUUAGCACAAAUAAAUACUUGCAGAUUAGUAAAAACCAGUGAUUUUUGUCCAUUUGAUUCACUAAAAACCUUAAAUCGGGUAAUCCACUAUAUUUUUCAUUACUCCAACUUAGAAGUACAUUGUAGAAUGUGAAGGAAACAUGGUGAGGUUGAGUGUUGGAAAUAUAAGGAGUUUUGAAUUUUGCUGACCCAGGAUUGAAUGAGUCUUGGAAGAUGAUUUGGAUGAUUUGUUACAUAUCAUAUUAUCAGUAUAUAUUCAAGCAAGGAAAUAUAAGGAGAACAGACUUAACUAUGUUAUCAGGAUACAGUAUAUAUUUAAACUAUCAAACUUGAUAACAUAGUCUGUUCUCCGAAUCCCAGUUCAUCCUUACUCUUGUGAUCAACUUCUUUGGAUUCAGUCCAAUUCAGGAGAUGUCACUGUGAACCUUAAAGUGAUUAAUGGUUUUAGCAAAAUUUAUUUUAGCACAUUGUGAGGUACUAACUUAAAUUGCGAAUGAGCCUGUGGCUCAAUGGUAGCACCCCUCUCACAAAGUGGAGAGGUCGUGGGUUCGAAACACGUCAACAGCGGAUUGUUGAUAUAAGUUUCCACACGUAAUUUAAAAGGGGUAGGGGUCCCCACAACCUCGCUUACCAACCAAAAAAAAAAAAAAAAAAAACUUAAAUUGUCAUGUCAGUCUGAACAUAAUGUAUAUUUACAGGGUAACGUCGAAGUGACCGUCAAAAGUGUUAGCUCAGGUGUUUAGGAUUAAAGAUCUUAAGAUCCCCAUCCACUGGCCAUGGACAAUGAGAGGAGGUCACCCUAGUAAGCUACAUUUCCCUUUCAACUUUAUAAGCCGCAGUUAAAUUUUAUGUAAUCGUCUUCAUUUGGAAAUUAUUGAAAAUUUGCACUCCGUGAGUAUGAAAAUACUGGACUACAUACAUAAAUUUUAGCAGACCAUUUUAUGCAAUAAAAUUUUUGUUAUAAUCUCACUCCAGUUUUUAAAUGUCUGGUAAUAUAAAUUUCUUCAGCCCACAUCACUACCAACUUGAUUUAACUUAUUAACAAGCCAAAUAUUUCUCUCUAUCUUUUAGAUCUGACUUGCUUAACAUUGUAUAAGCUGUUGGCUUCCCAUCACUGUUGCUUACAUAUCACCCAACUUUUUUAUGAAGCAAUAAGCCACAUAUUACUUUCAAUCUGUUGCAAUAAUAACCAAUAUAUUUUACAUCAGCAAUUUUACAUUUUAUUGUUUU